rnacentral:tRNA from 1 species
GUUUAGAUGGCCGAGUUGGUCAGGUGCCAGAUUAAGGUUCUGGUCCAAAAGGGCUUGGGUUCAAAACCUCAAAUCCCACUCUCAACA